AGGUCCUGCCUGCCCUGUGACUUGGUAGUUUAACGGCCGCAGUAUUUUGACUGUGCGAAGGUAGCGUAAUCACUUGUCUUUUAAAUGGAGACCAGUAUGAAUGGCAUAACGAGGGCCAAACUGUCUCCUUUUUCUAGUCAAUGAAAUUGAUCCUCCCGUGCAGAAGCGGGAAUAUUCCCAUAAGACGAGAAGACCCUAUGGAGCUUCAGACACAAGACAGCCCAUGUUAAAAACCCACAUUAAUGGAAACAACAAAAUGACAUCUGUCCUAAUGUCUUUGGUUGGGGCGACCAUGGAGAAAUAAAAAACCCCCAUGUGGAAUAGGGCCUACCCCCUUUAAACCAGAGCCACAGCUCUCACUAAUAGAACAUCUGACCAUCAAGAUCCGGCAGAGCCGAUCAACGGACCUAGUUACCCUAGGGAUAACAGCGCAAUCCCCUUUUAGAGCCCAUAUCGACAAGGGGGUUUACGACCUCGAUGUUGGAUCAGGACAUCCUAAUGGUGCAGCCGCUAUUAAGGGUUCGUUUGUUCAACGAUUAAAGUCCUACGUGAU
rnacentral:rRNA from 1 species